UACGGAGGAUCCGAGCGUUGUCCGGAUUUAUUGGGUUUAAAGGGUGCGUAGGCGGCCUGUUAAGUCAGGGGUGAAAGACGGUAGCUCAACUAUCGCAGUGCCCUUGAUACUGAUGGGCUUGAAUGUACUAGAGGUAGGCGGAAUGUGACAAGUAGCGGUGAAAUGCAUAGAUACGUCACAGAACACCAAUUGCGAAGGCAGCUUACUAUGGUAUAAUUGACGCUGAGGCACGAAAGCGUGGGGAUCAAACAGG
rnacentral:rRNA from 1 species